rnacentral:rRNA from 1 species
UUAAAAAGCUCGUAGUUGAAUUUCGGGGUCAGUAGGUCGGUCGUGCCACUGGUAUGAACUGGUUUUGCUGAUUCCUCCCUCUUGAAGAACUGUAAUGCCAUUAAUUUGGUGUUGCAGGGAAUCAGGACUGUUACUUUGAAAAAAUUAGAGUGUUUAAAGCAGGCUUUAGCUUGAAUACAUUAGCAUGGAAUAAUGAAAUAGGACGUUUGAUCCUAUUUUGUUGGUUUCUAGGAUUGACGUAAUGAUUAAUAGGGAUAGUUGGGGG